GUUUGUGCUUCUUUGACGGAUGAACAAUAUUGAAUCUGACACCGAGCUCCAGUUACAGUACAGUCCUGUACGCGUGUAGAAAUGUAUUCAUUGCGCUUUGUUUUGAUCCUAUCAUUUCACGUAUGCCGGAGUCUUCCUGUCGAUGCAGAUACCGUCGUACUUCAGAUCCAGCAGUGGAGGGGGGCAGGAAGUCAGCAGGUUGAAGAGCAAGUCCUUCUCAAUGGAAUUCCUUUAAUGGGCAAAAGCCCAGAAUUCAAUGCAGUUAUCAAAGCCGUAUUAGAUGACACACUCCUAACAUCUCUUAUCAGUUUCAACCAGACAUCUUCAAUAAGUAACCACACCAUUCUGCGUUCUCGAGAAUGCACGUGGGAAGGGUCUAAGCUGCGCUGGGCAGAUCGUGUAUUUGCUGACGGCCAGUUGUACCUGACUCUCAACCAGAAUGACAUGUGGACAGCCCACGUACAGAAGGCGCUGGCCAUCAAAGUGGUUUGGGACCAGGAAGUGCUGCAAACAAGAGCAGAGAGACUCCAUCUGCA